CCGCCAGCCCGGCGGGGGCGGCCCGGGGGGGGACAGCACCCUGCCGAGAAGGGGGGGCACAUCCCUAGGGGUUCCUGGGUGCAGGAAUACCCAGCCUCUGCUGGCCUCGGCAGCCUCCUGGGGUUGUCCUUCUCUCUAUCUUGAGAAGGCGAGCCAGAACCCUUCUCUUUUCCAUGCAGUGAUGUGGCCAGAUUUAAGAGACGUGGUAUAAAUUUGUUUUCCAUCAGGCAGACAUGGCACAAGGUCCAUGUGAAACCACCCCGAGAGGACAACACGGCCCAAAAUUAAGUUGCAUGGUCAUUAGAGAGAUUUGUCACAUCAACAAGACGGAGCUCCCUACCUUUGGACGUGAAGGAGGAUCGACUGUGCAGGAAAAAUCCUACCUAGAAGAGAAAUAAAAAUAAAUUACCCCCUUAAACACAGUUUCAUAGAAUCAUAGAAUGAUUAGAGUUGGAAGGGACCCUAAAGAUCAUCUCAUUCCAGCCCCCCUGCCCGGGGCAGGGACACCUCCCACCAGCCCAGGUUGCUCCAAGCCCCAUCCAGCCUGGCCUUGAACCCCUCCAGGGAUGGGGCAGCCACAGCUUCUCUGGGCAACCAGUUCCAGUGCCUCACCACCCUCACAGCAAAGAAUUUCUUUCUGGAAGUCCAAGAAAUAUGCCCCACAAGUCUUACAAGGUGGCAGAACAGUGGAGAGUUGUGUGUGAGUUCUGUCUUAGAGUUCCCAGAACAACAACAAGAAGUUCUCAGCUUUGUCCCAAGCAAACAAACCAUCUUUCUCAGUCCCUACCAUUCUCCCUUCUGCAAGUCCUGCGUCACAGGAGAAAUUCUGGAAAUACUAAAGAAACCCGCAGUGCAACCAGAGUUUGUCAUCACACCAAGCAUUUUGGGAGUGGAUUUGUCUCCUCAUGGAACAGCCAGGAAGUGUGACUCUUCCUCCCCAGCUGAUUUCUGCUAAUACCUUCAUCCGUAGCACAUUAAUGAGCAACUUAUUGCAAAAAUUACUUCUUUACAUUUCAAGUUGUUUUGCUUAGGUUGGAUGUACUGCUCAUGGGAAGAUCUAGCUGCCAGAGUCAGGCUUUCAACAUGCAUAUUUGCAAUGACAAAUUCAAAAUUCCUUUUCUAUUGAUGUUCUUGGAGCUGUCCUCAGCCUUGCUGCUGCAGUAGCUACCACUAAAUGCCACUAAAUCAGUAAAUCCAUUUAUUGGAAUAGUCAUACAGGACUGCAGCGAUGAGACACAAACUUAAUCCAAUUCAAACCUCUCCUAAGCAGGAGGAAAUAAACAUUCAGCUCUGUUCUGCA
rnacentral:lncRNA from 1 species